rnacentral:rRNA from 1 species
GCUGAACGCUAGCUACAGGCUUAACACAUGCAAGUCGAGGGACCGCCGCCCGGCUGAGUAACACGUAUCCAACCUGCCCUUUACCCGGGGAUAGCCUUGCGAAAGAAAGAUUAAUACACGAUAGAAUGGACGGAGAUGCGUUCCAUUAGGUUGUAGGUGAGGUAACGGCUCACCAAGCCUUCGAUGGAUAGGGGUUCUGAGAGGAAGGUCCCCGAGGUUGGAACUGAGACACGGACCAAACUCCUACGGGAGGCAGCGGUGAGGAAUAUUGGUCAAUGGGCGCUAGCCUGAACCAGCCAAGUAGCGUGAAGGAUGAAGGCUUAUGGGUCGUAAACUUCUUUUAUAUAAGAAUAUGUAUUAUAUGAAUAAGGAUCGGCUAACUCCGUGCCAGCAGCCGCGGUAAUAC